rnacentral:misc_RNA from 1 species
UAUUCUCAACCUUUAAAGCUUUUUUUUAAUCAAAAGGCAAUGAAGGCUUGGAAUUGGAGGUUUGUGUUGGCGCAAGUCAACUCCUCUGAAAUGCAUUAGUGUGAACCUUUACGGAUCACUGUCAGUGUGAUAAUUAUCUACACUGUGGUGUUGAAGUAUAUAUACAUGGUGUUCAUGCUUCUAACUGUCCUUUAUUGGACAUUGAUUUUUGACA